rnacentral:rRNA from 1 species
ACCGCCCGUCCACACCAUGAGAGUUGGGAAUACCCGAAGCCUGUGAGCUAACGUUAAGAGGCAGCAGUCGAAGGUAGAAUCAAUGAUUGGGGUGAAGUCGUAACAAGGUAAC